GACGAACGCUGGCGGCGUGCUUAACACAUGCAAGUCGAACGGAAAGGCCCUGCUUUUGUGGGGCGCUCGAGUGGCGAACGGGUGAGUAACACGCGAGUAACCUGCCCUUGUCUUUGGGAUAACUUCAGGAAACUGGGGCUAAUACCGGAUAGGAGCUCCUGCUGCAUGGUGGGGGUUGGAAAGUUUCGGCGGUUGGGGAUGGACUCGCGGCUUAUCAGCUUGUUGGUGGGGUAGUGGCUUACCAAGGCUUUGGCGGGUAGCCGGCCUGAGAGGGUGACCGGCCACAUUGGGACUGAGGUACGGACCAAUCUCCUAAGGGGGGCAGCAGUGGAGAAUAGUGCACAGUGAGCGGAAGCCUGAUGCAGCAACGCCGCGUGCGGAAUGACGGCCUUCGGGUUGUAAACCGCUUUCGCCUGUGACGAAGCGUGAGUGACGGUAAUGGGUAAAGAAGCACCGGCUAACUACGUG
rnacentral:rRNA from 1 species